rnacentral:rRNA from 1 species
CCUACGGGUGGCAGCAGUGAGGAAUAUUGGUCAAUGGACGAGAGUCUGAACCAGCCAAGUAGCGUGAAGGAUGACUGCCCUAUGUGUUGUAAACUUCUUUUAUAUGGGAAUAAAAUGUUCCACGUGUGGGAUUUUGUAUGUACCAUAUGAAUAAGGAUCGGCUAACUCCGUGCCAGCAGCCGCGGUAAUACGGAGGAUCCGAGCGUUAUCCGGAUUUAUUGGGUUUAAAGGGAGCGUAGGUGGAUUGUUAAGUCAGGUGUGAAAGUUUGCGGCUCAACCGUAAAAUUGCAGUUGAAACUGGCAGUCUUGAGUACAGUAGAGGUAGGCGGAAUUCGUGGUGUAGCGGUGAAAUGCUUAGAUAUCACGAAGAACUCCGAUUGCGAAGGCAGUUCACUGGACUGCAACUGACACUGAGGCUCGAAAGUGUGGGUAUCAAACAGGAUUAGAUACCCGAGUAGUC